GCCUUCUUAGCUGAGUGGUAGAGCACUGGUCUCGUAAACCAGGGGUCGUGAGUUCGUACCUCACAGAAAGCA